rnacentral:lncRNA from 1 species
UAUUUGGUUUUCUAUUCCUGUGUUAGUUUCCCAGCUGAAUUCAAACUCAUUCCCAGAUGACUUGGCCUCCUCAAUUGAUGUACACUGAAGAAAGAGCCACCUUCAGGCUGUAAGGUCAUCGUAUAAUCCUGACCACUCAUUUCCCAUCAUGACGCUGCUGUUCCUUCUCUUUCUCUUUCUUGGAUGUCUGAUACAAACAGCCUCAGAACUUGGCUCAUAAAGAAGAAAAUGGUGAAAAGGAGGACAGCAAUCCUCACGGCUGAAGAAAGAAGAAAGUUUGGCUUCAUUUCCAGGAGGC